rnacentral:lncRNA from 1 species
UUUUAGAAAGCGUCGGGCAUUGAAUGGCUUCAGAGUACCCUACCCCUUCCAUUUACCGGGCGAUUGGUUUCCCCUGUCUGUUUCACUUGAAGUCUACUAUUUUAAGCCCACGUUUGAGAAGAAGGAAUCCUAAACACGCCCUUCGUCUCACCGGUCAGUUUUUCUGAAACCUUAAUUUUUCUAUUAAUGGUGAACGGCAACUGCAAUGGAUUCGAAGGGUAUUCAGAUUGAACCCAUCUCAGAUUAAACUCACAAUAACGAGGAAAGUGAUUUGUUUUCAUUUUAGUGUUUGUUUCGAAUUUUGAGUUUUGCCGAUUAGGUUUUAGCAUGAUAAUCAAGAGGAAGUUGAAAUUGGCAAUGCUAAUUUAAUCAAGUGCAGUUUCCCCCGAUUAUGGUUCAAAGCAAGCUUGAUUGCGGAAGAUGCCGACCGUAAUUGUCGAAGAACUUCAACGAAUUUAGCAUAAAUUUUCCUUUUCCAUUACCUGUUUGACAUCAACUGUCUUCGACUGCUGAAUCUAUACGCAAAGCAAAACUGUCACAAACCAUGGUGGAAGGAAAUCAGUGGAUAAGGUACUUCCCACAAGGACAUAGUGAACAGUAAAAAACCAAGAAGGCGUACCCGUUCUUCUCAUACAGGUCAUUCACGUGGGUACCGCAAAAUGGGUGGAUCCAGACAAGGCAAGCUCAUCGAGAUAGUCCUACACCAAUACUUCUAUCAGUAUUUCUCGACAUAAUUCAACCAAGAUACGAUCAAAAUCGGCUGCACUGGAUAGGGCCAGAGUAUUUCCCGACAUAAUUCAACCAAGAUACGAUCAAAAUCGGCUGCAAUGGAUAGGGCCAGAGCACUAUUAUAUAUGCUGGAUAUAAGCAACUCAGUCUUCUGGCAUCAAUCAACAGAAGCAGCAGUCACUUUACUUGGGGCCUGAUGAUCAUCUCUAUCUGGAAGGAUUUGCAUCAAAUGUCUUUGCAAAGGUCGAUAAGCAAGACCGGCUGGAAGAGCUGACAUGUAUGAUAUGCUCUACUUCUUAUGAUAUAGUUAUUGUAACAUUGGCUUACUAAAGAUUUAGCACACUAAGAAUGAUUUAAUGUGCUUAAAAAGGCUUCCAAAUUCAUAUGCCAUGGGCUCGUACAUAUAACUCUUUUUUAGCAAUUCCUCAUGAAAAACAACCGCCGCCUCUGGUUGAAGUUUAACAUUGGAGUUCAUAAUGUUUUUUUUGCUAUUCAAGGGUUUAUUGAUCAAUAGCUUUUCGGAAGUAUUUUUGCUAAGAUGUUAUGGACAUAGUAGGUUAUUACCAAUGUUGUAUAUGGUAUUGCACUUAUGAUUUAAAUAGGGUUUGUUAAAGUUAAAUUGCAAUAUGGAUUUUUUUAAGGCACUUUCUUUGUUAUGUAAGUUCUUAAUGAGCAGUUUUUAAUAGGUAUUCGCAAAUAGUGUUUAAUUAC